UCGAGGAUCUUCGGCAAUGGGCGCAAGCCUGACCGAGCGACGCCGCGUGAGCGAUGAAGGCCUUCGGGUCGUAAAGCUCUGUCGUGGGGGAGAAAAGGGUAACACCUUGAUCGACCCCAGGAGGAAGCACGGGCUAAGUUCGUGCCAGCAGCCGCGGUAAGACGAACCGUGCGAACGUUAUUCGGAAUCACUGGGCUUAAAGGGCGCGUAGGCGGGCUCGCACGUCAGGGGUGAAAUCCCACGGCCCAACCGUGGAAGUGCCCCUGAUACGGCGGGCCUCGAGGGAGGUAGGGGCGUGCGGAACUCAGGGUGGAGCGGUGAAAUGCGUAGAUAUCCUGAGGAACACCGGUGGCGAAAGCGGCGCGCUGGACCUCUUCUGACGCUGAGGCGCGAAAGCCAGGGGAGCGAACGG
rnacentral:rRNA from 1 species